GGGGCGGGAAGACAGCCACCCCAGCCUGGGCCCCCGGGAGGAAAUGUAAGUGCGGGAAGUUUGUAGGGUGGUCCCUUUCUUGGCGCUUGGCCCUCGCCAGUCCUCGCCGCCCUCCUUGCCAACCCCAGCCCCGCCCCAACCCGAGGGUGCGCCCUUCCCCUGGGCACUGUGAUCUCCGCCCAUGCCCGCUGGCUGAUAGCGGGGGGCACCGCCAGCCCCUGAGCGCCGCGCUAGCCCCUGGGGCGGUGAGCAGGACUUCCGGAGCCCUGGAGGGCAGGGACCACCGCAGAAGCCGGCGUGCGCCGGGCACCUAGGAACGACCGUCCUGGCAGCCCUCCUCGCUCAGAUGAAGAGAUUCAGGCUCCAGUAACAACUCCUUGUCUACUAAGUGGCUACAUUUCCUGAGACUUGAAUUCUUCAGGCCUUUUGACUAUGUAACAUUUUUGUUAACAAUUCUCUGAAGUCAACAAUUUGCCUACAGUGCAAUCAGGUUCUAAGCAGGCUUUCAAUGCAGGGGAAGACAUGAAAAGUAAUGACACAAUCAAGCACAUCAGCACUGAAAAAAUACUAUACUCAAAAAUAGCUCAUGAGAGGAAUAAGAAAGUGAACGAAUGACAACCUAAGGCCUUUUGGCCCAUACAUUUUUGUUCCCAGUCCACUCUUCCCCUAUAAGGGGAAAUAAAAUAAACAUUCUUUCCUAGUUGCUUGGCAUAGUUAUUCGGUGGGUAACUACUAACUAAGUUAAUUUAGAUACAUAAGCUUAAGAGAUAACAAAUAAAUACCUAGGGAAGACAAAGAGAAGUCAGGUCAGAAAACCUUAACUAGCUAAUGAUGUAAUAUAUAACACCAUCAUAUUAGUACAAUUAGAUGAAGGCUUCAGUGUCCUUUACAUUUCAGCUUUAUGUGAUUGACACAGACGUGGAAGAGAUCUGGUCCUUAUGAAGAAUUCUGUGCUCGCUGGAAAGAUUUGUAGGAAUAAUGAAAUGCUUUCUUCAUUGAUGAGAUGAAGUCUCUCUGUUUUUCAGGCAAAUUGACUGAACAGAACAAUGAAAAACGAACUUCUGCAGAAGGCUGAAUAAAAGUAACAGCUAGCUGAAAGUCAUUGGCCAAAGAUAAUUUUUAAAAAUAACCAUUCUGUGUUAACUCCCCCCCCAAAAAAACCCCAGAGAAAUAUUAAAAAAACAAUGUACACAUCCAUUUCACUGACAGUUACAGAAAAUAGCUGUUUAUAGAAGUUACAAUGCUUUCAACAAGUCCCAAACAAAUCUUGGGAAACAGAUAAAGCCACUGGGUAAAUAAAUAUACAUACUAGCUAAUAUGAAACAAAUUAUGGUUAAGAAUUGUCAUCAGCUCUCUUUUAGGACCCAAGGAGAAAUAUGGUGGUAUAAAUCUGAUUAGGGCUAUGUAUAUUACACAGAAUUAAAAAACACAACUCAUUAAAACAUCCUUUCUAACAAUGAUACAAAUAUUUAAAAGAAUGUCUUAAAAGUCAGACAUUUAUCACUGGAAAUAGCACAAUUUGAAUAAGUACUUCAGAGUUGUAAUGUGUAUACAGAUCACUUCUGCUGUGUCUCAUCAGGUAUCCAUCUCUCCUGCAUUUACUACAGUCAGUUUUUAAAGAGUUCAUGUUUGCUGUGUGAGCUGAAGGGGCUGGGCAUA